AGGACAAAUGAUCGCGGCUGCACAGACGAAAGGGUGCAGGUGAGGAAAGUCCGGGCUUCACAGGGCAGGAUGCCGGAUAACGUCCGGUGGAGGCGACUCCAAGGCUAGUGCAAUAGAAAAGAAACCGCCACAGAUUAUGCCUGGCAUAGUCUGUGGUAAGGGUGGAAUGGCAGUGUAAGAGACUACCGCUGUGCUGGUAACAGCACGGGCUGUGUAAACCCCAUCCGAAGCAAGACCAAAACGAAAGCGACAGAUUUGCCCGAUCUGCUUUCAGGUAGGUCGCUCGAGAUCAUCGGCAACGAUGAUCCUGGAUAGAUGAUCAUUCACGACAUAACCCGGCUUAUCGUUCUGCUU
rnacentral:RNase_P_RNA from 1 species